UUAUAAAAACAUUUUUUUUUGUCAAUAAAUUUUAGUAUUUACCUUAAUCUUGAUGUAUAUUCACUUUUAAAUUUUAGUAAACAGCUAGUCGACUUCCAUUUCUUUCAUUAUUGGUUUACAUGAUGAUGUCAUAAGUGAUGUCACAAAUGACGUCAUAAGCAAGUAUUCUCGUUCUUUUGAUCUAGGCAUGACAGUUGUGAAAAUAUCGACUUGUUGACUGCUUUGCUGAUCUUGUCACAAAAUUUUGUUACCGUAAAAAAUACAGGAUAAAGGAAGGGAUUGUUACAUCUAUGCAGCAACUUGUCAACGAAUAGUCAAGGUCUUGGCGGAUGUUUUGAGCGCACAGUAACAAACACUGGUCUAAGUGUAUCAACGCAGGAAGCUACAAGAUACAUGUGAUUACAUCUGCUGAUCGGAAGGAGUUGCUGAGGAUGUAAAAAAACAAGCCAUAUUUUGGGGAAAUGGAGUAGGAAGACGUUGGCUGGUUGCAGUGGCAUUUUAACAGUACCGCAGUAGAUGUUUAGGAAGUGCUGGUAGACGAAGCUAUGAUUACCUAGUAGAGCAAAACAGUUCCGCAAUCCAGAAUUCCAGAAACAAAGGAUGCAUCAUAGUUGGACUAGUGUAAACGGAAUUAAUGCAGUGGACUUAUAUUUGUUGGACAAUCCAUAUUAUUUGUUUGACAAUUGAUUUAUAAAGACACCUUUCAAAAUGUAUUAGGCAGGUAUAAAACAAAAUAAAAGGCUUCUUAUGGUCAACUUUCAUACUAUAGUAGCCUGCUGUCAGAAAAUUACCUCUUACAUUAUUUAGGUAAAGAGUAAAGGUGACAGGUAUCUCAUUACUGCAGACUAUCUGGAAUAAUGAUCUUUCCUCGGACAUUUAAAUGUAAAGGCUAAUUGCAGGUGACCAGUAGAUGAAACCUGUCAUUCUAGCGACCAGUAGGUUUAAGGUCAAGGUCGGGUGAGCGAUUAGGAUCGAUGAAUGUCCGUUGUCCGUCCGUUAAAUUAAGUCUGUUUACACUCUAGCAUCAACAAUUUUAAAGCAAUUUUAAUCAAAAUCAAAGGAAAAUCUUGUAAAAACUCUAGAGGUCACAUUUAUGAACAUAUCUUUCUGA